rnacentral:rRNA from 1 species
GUGGCGAACGGGUGAGUAACACGUGAGCAAUCUGCCCUUGACUCUGGGAUAACUGCGGGAAACUGUAGCUAAUACCGGAUACUUUCCUCGCUGGGCAUCCAGCGGGGAAGAAAGAAUUUCGGUCAAGGAUGAGCUCGCGGCCUAUCAGCUAGUUGGUGAGGUAAUGGCUCACCAAGGCGACGACGGGUAGCCGGCCUGAGAGGGUGACCGGCCACACUGGAACUGAGACACGGUCCAGACUCCUACGGGAGGCAGCAGUGGGGAAUAUUGCACAAUGGGCGAAAGCCUGAUGCAGCAACGCCGCGUGAGGGAUGAAGGCCUUCGGGUUGUAAACCUCUUUUAGCAGGGAAGAAGCGAAAGUGACGGUACCUGCAGAAAAAGCACCGGCUAACUACGUGCCAGCAGCCGCGGUAAUACGUAGGGUGCAAGCGUUGUCCGGAAUUAUUGGGCGUAAAGAGCUCGUAGGCGGUUUGUCACGUCUGCUGUGAAAAUCCGAGGCUCAACCUCGGACUUGCAGUGGGUACGGGCAGGCUAGAGUGCGGUAGGGGAGAAGGGAAUUCCUGGUGUAGCGGUGGAAUGCGCAGAUAUCAGGAGGAACACCAAUGGCGAAGGCACUUUUCUGGGCCGUAACUGACGCUGAGGAGCGAAAGCGUGGGGAGCGAACAGGAUUAGAUACCCUGGUAGUCCAC